UACAGAGGGUGCAAGCGUUGCUCGGAAUUAUUGGGCGUAAAGGGCAAGUAGGUGGUCUCGUUUGUCUGGGGUGAAAGCCUUGAGCUUAACUCAAGAAGUGCCCUAGAAACGGCGAGACUAGAGUCCUGGAGAGGGUUGUGGAAUUCCCGGUGUAGCGGUGAAAUGCGUAGAGAUCGGGAGGAACACCAGAGGCGAAAGCGGCAACCUGGACAGGUACUGACACUCAACUGCGAAAGCGUGGGGAGCAAACAGGAUUAGAUACCCUGGUAGUCCACGCUGUAAACGAUGGGUACUAGAUUUGGUGGGUCUUGACCCCCGCUGAGUCGGCGCUAACGCACUAAGUACCCCGCCUGGGAAGUACGGUCGCAAGACUAAA
rnacentral:rRNA from 1 species